GGCGGUGUAGCUUAAUGGUAGAGCAUGUGCUUAACAUGCACAAGACUCUGGGUUUGAUUCCCACUGCCA
rnacentral:tRNA from 1 species